rnacentral:rRNA from 1 species
CCUACGGGCGGCUGCAGUGGGGAAUCUUCGGCAAUGAGCGCAAGCUUGACCGAGCGACGCCGCGUGCGGGAUGAAGGCCUUCGGGUUGUAAACCGCUUUGGUCCGAAAGAAAGGGUAAAACUUGAUCGAUCGGAGAAACAAGGACGGGCUAAGUUCGUGCCAGCAGCCGCGGUAAGACGAACCGUCCAAACGUUAUUCGGAAUCACUGGGCUUAAAGGGCGCGUAGGCGGCCGAGCGGGUCGUGGGUGAAAUCCCCCAGCUUAACUGGGGAACUGCUUACGAUACCACUGCGGCUCGAGGAAGGAAGGGGCAAUUGGAACUGUCGGUGGAGCGGUGAAAUGCGUUGAUAUCGACAGGAACGCCUGUGGCGAAAGCGAAUUGCUGGUCCUUUUCUGACGCUGAGGCGCGAAAGCCAGGGGAGCAAACGGGCUUAGAUACCCGGGUAGUC